CUGCCGCCUUGCGCCAUGGCGGGCUGCGCUGCGCGGGCUCCGCCGGGCUCCGAGGCGCGUCUCAGCCUCGCCACCUGCCUGUUAGGCGCCUCGGUGCUCGCGCUGCCGCUACUCACCCGCGCCGGCCUGCAGGGCCGCACAGGGCUGGCGCUCUACGUGGCCUGGCUCAACGCGCUGCUGCUGCUGCUCCAUCGGCCGCCGCGCUACCAGAUAGCCAUCCGAGCUUGUUUCCUGGGCUUUGUGUUCGGCUGCGGUGUGCUGCUAAGUUUUAGCCAGUCUUCUUGGACUCACUUUGGCUGGUACAUGUGCUCCCUGUCAUUGUUCCAUUAUUCUGAAUACUUGGUGACAGCAGUCAAUAAUCCCAAAAGUCUGUCCUUGGAUUCCUUUCUCCUGAAUCACGGUCUGGAGUAUACAGUCGCUGCUCUUUCUUCUUGGAUAGAGUUCACACUUGAAAACAUUUUUUGGCCAGAACUGAAGCAGAUCACCUGGCUCAACAUCACGGGGCUGCUGAUGGUGGUCUUUGGAGAAUGUCUGAGGAAGGUGGCCAUGUUUACAGCUGGCUCCAAUUUCAACCACGUGGUGCAGAAUGAAAAAUGAGAUACCCAUACUCUGGUGACCAGUGGAGUAUAUGCUUGGUUCCGGCAUCCUUCUUACGUGGGGUGGUUUUACUGGAGUAUUGGAACUCAAGUGAUGCUGUGUAACCCUAUCUGCGGCAUUGGGUAUGCCCUGACAGUGUGGCGGUUCUUCCGUGAUCCAAUAGAAGAAGAAGAAAUCUCACUCAUUCACUUUUUUGGAAAGGAGUACCUGGAGUAUAAGAAGAGGGUGCCCACGGGCCUGCCUUUCAUAAAGGGGGUCAAGGUGGACCUGUGAUGGGCAGUGACUCCGGUGACCUUGGGGCCUCCGACACUGUGCAGCCUGGGACAAAACUGUUUCCGGUUGGCCGCUGCGACAUGGAUUUUCUUAAUCGUUUUGUAUGUCACUAGUCACUCUUCUGGAAUGUCCCUUGAGACCAAGCGGUCAGAAGGCCUGAGGACCCAAGGCCCCACUGAAGCAGCCUGUCCUUGUGCUGAAUCAAGGUGGAACGUGGGUGAAAUACCAGUAAGAGGCAAAUCACAGCAAUAUUCCACAGCGCCCUCCAGAGUGACCUGGGGAGAACCCAGGCCACACGCCACUGCCCCCGAGGCCAAAGUGUAAGUAAAGGAUAACCAGGACUCCCUGGGAGAGAUAGACUCUGUCCUCAGCAACACUUCCACAGCAGAAAGGGGUAGCGGGUACCCUGCUUAUCAGUAUUAAAAAUGCAUUUACAACCUUUCAUUUAACCGAAAAACAAACCGCUUUAACCUCUUUAUUUCUGUCCACUGCAUGAACAUCUAGACAAUUUGAAAGAUACUUCCUCAUAGGA